UACGGAGGAUCCGAGCGUUAUCCGGACUUAUUGGGUUUAAAGGGUGCGUAGGCGGUUUGAUAAGUUAGAGGUGAAAUGUCGGGGCUCAACCCCGAAACUGCCUCUAAUACUGUUGGACUAGAGAAUAGUUGCGGUAGGCGGAAUGUACGGUGUAGCGGUGAAAUGCUUAGAGAUCAUACAGAACACCGAUUGCGAAGGCAGCUUACCAAACUAUAUCUGACGUUGAGGCACGAAAGCGUGGGUAGCAAACAGG
rnacentral:rRNA from 1 species